UUUCUUCAUUCUUCUUCCUUCUUCUUCUCUCUUCUUCUUUAUUCUUCUAUUUCUCGUCACUGGCGAUUCUAAGAAUCGAAUUGAUAGAAUUUUUGACGUAUCAGUUUAAUUUGAUGAAGGAGAAGAUGAGGUGAUUAUAAAUCACGAUGGAAUACGAUUUAGAAUCGAAGUAUUAAAUCAGAGGAAAUCCAGUUAGGGUUUGUAAAACUGUCUAAUUGAAUUCGUAUGGAAUAAAUUGGUUGAUUAGGUUGUUGAUUGAUGAAGAAGAAACGGGUUACCGUUUAAUUGAUUUUUGAAGUGGUUCAGAUGAUGAAUUGAAGAAUUAGGAUUUGAGAUUGAUGUUGAAUGCAUGUUGAAAGUGAUUAGGGUUGUUGUUAGAUGUAAAUGGAGAGGGUUGUUGUCUGAUUGACGAGUUGGUGUUGAUUUGAUUAAGGUUUUGAGAAUUAGGAUUUCUUAGAGGAAUUGUUUUAAGGUUGAUUUCAUGAUGAAUAAGAAGAUUUACAGAGUGGUUUAGUCGAUUAAGGAACAAGGUGAAGUUACUUAGAUGUUGGAGCUGUAUUGGUGAAGAUUUGAUAGAAAUUAGGGUUUACAAGAAAUCAAGACUGAGCAGAUGAUGAUGAUGGAAGUAGGAGAUGGAUGUUUGGAGUUAACAUUUCUGAAAUUGAUUUGAGAAAGAAGGAUGGAGCAAGUUCAGUUAGGGUUCUUAAUAAAAUGAAGACUUAGGGUUUAUGGGUUUGAGAUGCAGACGAAGGAAUGUCAAUGCAGUGGAUGUUGUUACUGAGGUUGUGUUGAAUUACUAUGAACUAGAAUGAAAGAAGAAAGUGCAAGGUUGUGGAGUUGGAGUUGUUGUUGGUGCUAAGUUGCAGGUGGAAUGAGAUGGUAAUGUUGUUGGUGUUGUUUGUGUAAUUGGAUUUGAAGGUGAAGAUGCAUUAUGGCCUGUUGUGGAUGCAAUUGUGAUCUCAGAUGUUUUGUGGGUUAUGACUGCAAUUUAGAUUGCUAGUGGUGGUGCAGGUUGUAAUGGUGGUGUCUAAUUGAGUUUAAGGAAGUGGUAUGAGAUGCAACUGUGUUUUUACUCAGUUGAUAGUGGUGUUAAGCCUCAAUUAUGGCUGUUGGCUUAAUUAGAAUGAGUUAUUAUGGAUGUGAGAAUUGUUGAUAAUGCUGAAGUGAAGUGUGCGUGUAUUAGAACUAGAACUGAAGUGAAUAUAUGAAUGUGCAGGUGGUGGAUUAAUUUGUUUGAAGUAACUGAUAUUGCUUGUGUGAUGAGUCUGUUUAUGCUGAGAUUGGAAUUCAGUUAGUACUGAAGUGUAAUCAAAUGGGAAUUUUAGUUGAGGUUUUAGUGUUGUUUGAGUGGAGCUGAUCUGAGUUUGGCUUAGAGAUGCUUUUGCAGAUAAACUUAGUUACAUUUGUAAUUGAAAUUCAAAGUUGUUUAAGAAUGAAUGUAUAAUUUUAAGUUUGAUAGAAAUGAAAUGUUAAUGAAGUAGAGUUGAA